UACGUAGGGACCGAGCGUUGUCCGGAUUCAUUGGGCGUAAAGAGCUCGUAGGCGGCCACUCAAGUCGAACGUGAAAUCCCCGGGCUCAACCCGGGAACUGCGUCCGAUACUGGCAGGCUUGAAUCCGGGAGAGGGAUGCGGAAUUCCAGGUGUAGCGGUGAAAUGCGUAGAUAUCUGGAGGAACACCGGUGGCGAAGGCGGCAUCCUGGACCGGCAUUGACGCUGAGGCGCGGAAAGCCAGGGGAGCAAACGGGG
rnacentral:rRNA from 1 species